AUCUUUUCUGGUCCAUAAGUGUGAUGGAUGGGCAUUCCUUCCCCUUGCAUGACUCAUGCCUCCCACAAACCUUGUUAGGGUAUCACUACAUUACACAUCCAGAUC
rnacentral:snoRNA from 1 species